GGGGGUAUAGCUCAAGUGGUAGAGCGCAUGCUUAGCAUGUACUAGGUCCUGGGUUCAAACCCUGGUACCUCCA
rfam:Camelus ferus unplaced genomic scaffold scaffold591, whole genome shotgun sequence.